rnacentral:rRNA from 1 species
UCAGGAUGAACGCUAGCUACAGGCUUAACACAUGCAAGUCGAGGGGCAGCAUGGUCUUAGCUUGCUAAGGCCGAUGGCGACCGGCGCACGGGUGAGUAACGCGUAUCCAACCUGCCUUACACUCUUGGACAGCCUUCUGAAAGGGAGAUUAAUACAAGAUGUUAUCAUGAGUAAGCAUUUUCGCAUGAUUAAAGGUUUACCGGUGUAAGAUGGGGAUGCGUUCCAUUAGAUAGUAGGCGGGGUAACGGCCCACCUAGUCUUCGAUGGAUAGGGGUUCUGAGAGGAAGGUCCCCCACAUUGGAACUGAGACACGGUCCAAACUCCUACGGGAGGCAGCAGUGAGGAAUAUUGGUCAAUGGACGAGAGUCUGAACCAGCCAAGUAGCGUGAAGGAUGAAGGUUCUAUGGAUUGUAAACUUCUUUUAUACGGGAAUAAACGGAUCCACGUGUGGAUUUUUGCAUGUACCGUAUGAAUAAGGAUCGGCUAACUCCGUGCCAGCAGCCGCGGUAAUACGGAGGAUCCGAGCGUUAUCCGGAUUUAUUGGGUUUAAAGGGAGCGUAGAUGGGUUGUUAAGUCAGUUGUGAAAGUUUGCGGCUCAACCGUAAAAUUGCAAUUGAUACUGGCAGUCUUGAGUACAGUUGAGGUAGGCGGAAUUCGUGGUGUAGCGGUGAAAUGCUUAGAUAUCACGAAGAACUCCGAUUGCGAAGGCAGCUUACUAACCUGUAACUGACAUUGAUGCUCGAAAGUGUGAGUAUCAAACAGGAUUAGAUACCCUGGUAGUCCACACGGUAAACGAUGAAUACUCGCUGUAGGCGAUAUACAGUCUGCGGCCAAGCGAAAGCAUUAAGUAUUCCACCUGGGGAGUACGCCGGCAACGGUGAAACUCAAAGGAAUUGACGGGGGCCCGCACAAGCGGAGGAACAUGUGGUUUAAUUCGAUGAUACGCGAGGAACCUUACCCGGGCUUAAAUUGCAACCGAAUAUGGCGGAAACGCUAUAGCUAGCAAUAGCGGUUGUGAAGGUGCUGCAUGGUUGUCGUCAGCUCGUGCCGUGAGGUGUCGGCUUAAGUGCCAUAACGAGCGCAACCCUUGCCGAUAGUUACUAACAGGUCAUGCUGAGGACUCUGUCGGGACUGCCAUCGUAAGAUGUGAGGAAGGUGGGGAUGACGUCAAAUCAGCACGGCCCUUACGUCCGGGGCUACACACGUGUUACAAUGGGGGGUACAGAGGGCUGCUACCACGCAAGUGGAUGCCAAUCCCAAAAACCUCUCUCAGUUCGGAUUGAAGUCUGCAACCCGACUUCAUGAAGCUGGAUUCGCUAGUAAUCGCGCAUCAGCCACGGCGCGGUGAAUACGUUCCCGGGCCUUGUACACACCGCCCGUCAAGCCAUGGGAGCCGGGGGUACCUGAAGUGCGUAACCGCAAGGAGCGCCCUAGGGUA